GAUGAACGCUGGCGGCGUGCCUAAUACAUGCAAGUCGAGCGAACAGACGAUGAGCUUUCUCCUCUGACGUUAGCGGCGGACGGGUGGGUAAACCGUGGAUAACCUACCUAUAAGCCUGGGUUAACUUCGGGAAAACGGAGCUAAUACCGGAUAAAAUAUUGCACCGCAUGGCUCAAUAGUGAAAGACGGUUUUCCUGUAACUUUUAGAUGGAUACGCGCCCCAUUAUCUAGUUGGUGAUGGAACGGCUUACCAAGGCAACGACGCGAAACCGACCCGAGAGGGUAAACGGCCACACUGGAAGUGAGACAGGGUCCAGACUCCUACAGUAGGCAGCAGUAGGGAAUCUUCCGCAAUGGGGCAAAGCCUGACGGAGCAACGCGGCGUGAGUUAUGAAGGUGUUCGGAUCGGAAAGCUCUGUUAUUAGUGAAGAACAAAUGUGUAAGUAACUAUGCACGUCUUGACGGUACCUAAUCAGAAAGCCACGGCUAACUACGUG
rnacentral:rRNA from 1 species